rnacentral:rRNA from 1 species
CCUACGGGAGGCAGCAGUGGGGAAUAUUGCACAAUGGGCGCAAGCCUGAUGCAGCAACGCCGCGUGAGGGACGACGGCCUUCGGGUUGUAAACCUCUUUUAGUAGGGAAGAAGCGAAAGUGACGGUACCUGCAGAAAAAGCACCGGCUAACUACGUGCCAGCAGCCGCGGUAAUACGUAGGGUGCAAGCGUUAUCCGGAAUUAUUGGGCGUAAAGAGCUCGUAGGCGGUUUGUCGCGUCUGCUGUGAAAACUGGAGGCUCAACCUCCAGCCUGCAGUGGGUACGGGCAAACUAGAGUGCGGUAGGGGAGAUUGGAAUUCCUGGUGUAGCGGUGGAAUGCGCAGAUAUCAGGAGGAACACCGAUGGCGAAGGCAGAUCUCUGGGCCGUAACUGACGCUGAGGAGCGAAAGCAUGGGGAGCGAACAGGAUUAGAUACCCUGGUAGUCCAUGCCGUAAACGUUGGGCGCUAGAUGUGGGGACCCAUUCCACGGUUUCCGUGUCGCGNGCUACGCAUAGUCGCCCGCCGUCGGGAGGUACGGCCGCGACGGACGAAACGUAACGUAAGUAGUUAAGUUAGUACGGUUCGUUGAGACGNGCCGACGGACGACGACGAGGGAGGAGG